rnacentral:rRNA from 1 species
UGAGGAACAUGACCUUCGGCGGGGGAUAGCCGGCCCAACGGCCGGGUAAUACCGCGUACGACCACAUGGGGACAUCCCUGAGUGGUGAAAGCAGCAAUGCGCCGAUGGAGUGCCUCGCGGCCUAUCAGCUAGUUGGUGAGGUAACGGCUCACCAAGGCGACGACGGGUAGCUGGUCUGAGAGGAUGGCCAGCCACAUUGGGACUGAGACACGGCCCAGACUCUACGGGAG